AAAACGCACAAAAACGAGCUCGAAAAGCAUCAACGCUACUCAUCGUGCCGAGUUUUCACAUAACGCCACCUAAAAGCAAGUUAUCGCAAGUUAACGCGCGUUAAAGCGAGUUAAAGCGGUCAGCGUCUGCUCGACUUUUGAACAAAGCGAAAACGAUCUUGCAUCCCUGCUGUCAUAGCUCGAGCAGUUUUUCGAUCAAGUUUGGCAACUCGGUAUUUGUUUUGAUAAGUUUUCAAGCAGUUUCCGCAGAAAGAAAACAAAAACAAAGCAGGUCACGAUUUUUGGUCAAAGGUCGGAAAACUAAACUCCGAUGGGAUGACCGGCGCCGGUUUUGCUUCAACGAGACAAGCAGCAACUGGACCCGAAAGUGACCCGCAAGCUGCAACUUGGGGAAGAAAAAGUUCAAGUAUCUUAGCAAUCAAUCGAUGGAAAGCACCACAUCUGGGCUUUUUGGUGCGACUCCCCGGGAAGUGUAAUUCCAACAAUGAGCUGCGAGAGAAGAACCGUGAGUUUAAGGCGGCGGCUGUAGGGAGAAGUGUCCAACGAAACCGACGGCACAGUGGACGGUGCCGUUUGGUGUUUUUUCCGGGUGUUUAAGCAAACUAGCUCCCAAAAAAUGACACCGACGAGCGGCUUAGCGUGUGGCUUGUCUGGACCACAACAUAGGCGAGUUCUGCUGUAACCUAUAAGGGAAACCGGUGCCGUUGAAGUGGACAGGUCAAUUCAGGAAAAUGGAAUGACACAUUUGGCGAGAAGAAGAGUAAUAAAGUUCUAGGUGAA